rnacentral:lncRNA from 1 species
UUUUUUUUUUUUUUUUUUUUUUUUUUUUGGUAUUUUUAGGGCUGCACCUGCAGCAUGUGGGGGUUCCCAGGUUAGGGGUCAAAACGGGGCUGUAGCUGUCAGCCUACGCCUCAACCACAGCAACACAGGAACCGAGCCACGUCUGCGACCUACACCACAGCUCAUGGCAACGCCGGAUCCUUAACCCACUGAGGGAGGCCAGGGAUCGAACCCAUGUCACUGCUGAGCCACAACAGGAACUCUUUUUCCACUCUCUUGAUGGUGUCCUUUGAAGCACUAAAUAUUUUAACUUUGAUCAAAUCCAAUUUAUCUGUUUUACAUUUUGUUGCUUGUGCUUUUGGUGUCACACAGAAGAAUCCUUUGCCAAAUCCAAGAUCGUGGAGAUUCACUCCACAUUUUUAUCUCUUACACUAAGUCUUUGAUUCAUUUUGAGUUAACUUCUGAGUAUUUGGGAGCUAAGGGUCCAACUUGAUUCUUUCGCACGUGGUUAUCCAGUUACCCCACAACCGUUUGCUGACAAGACUCUUCUUCCCAGUUAGAUGGUCUUGGCUUUCUGUCAAACAACACUUGACCGUCAGUGUCGGGGUCCAUCCCUGGACCCCCGUUCUAGCCCUCUGGACUCUAUCUGUCCUUCUGCCAGUACCACAGUGACUGGAUCACUGUUGCUUUGUAGCAAGUUUUGAAACUCUUUUUUUUUUUUUUUUGGAAACAUUCUUAUUUUGUUCUUUCCAGAAGGUUUUGACUUUUCUGGGUCCCUGGCAAUUCCAUGUAAAUUUCGGAAUUAGACUGUCAAUUUCUAAAAAGAAGUCCACUGGGAUUCUGGUGAAGAUUGCAUUGAAUUUGUAGAUCAGACAAUGUUUUAGGAAAUAUUCUUAUUUUAACAGUGUUAAAUCAUGAGCAUGAGAGGUUUUAUCAAUUAUUUAGAUCUUCUGUUUCUCUGAACAAUAUUCUGUAAAUUUCUAGGGGGUUUAAUCGGAGCUGUAGCUGCCAGCCUACGCCAGAGCCACAGCAACGCAGGAUCCGAGCAGUGUCUGCGACCUACACCACAGCUCACGGCAACGCCGGAUCGUUAACCCACUGAGCAAGGGCAGGGACCAAACCUGCAACCUCAUGGUUCCUAGUCGGAUUCGUUAACCACUGCGCCACAACGGAACUCCUCGUCAAAUGAUUUUUCGGCAUCGUCUGAGAUGAUUGUGUGCUUUUUGUUUUUUAUUCUGUUGAUAUGAUGUGUUAUACUCAUUGUUUUUCUGAUGUUAAACCAAUCUAGAAUUCCUGGGAUGAACCCCCCCCUUAGUCACAGUGUGGAAUUCUUUUUAUGUGUUGCUGCAUUUGGUUUGCUAACGUGUGUGGAGGAUUUUUGCAUCGAUACUUACAAGCAAUAUUGGAGUAUGUUUUCUCUAAUGAUACCUUUGUCUGGUUUGGUAACACACGGAUCGUGGACAUAGGCAAGGAGUUGGGACGUAUUCCCUCCUCCUUGGUUUUUAGGGAGUUUUUGAAAAACUGGCUUUCUUUCUUUCUUUCCCCCACCAUAGCGUGCAGCAGCCUGCUGCGGGAGCUCAUUUCCCAGACCAGGGAUUGAACCGGGGCCACAGUGGUGAAAAGGCCACAGCCUAACAGCUAGACCACUGGGGAACUCCCGACGUUAAUUCCUCCUUAACUAUUUGGUAGAAAUGGUGAAACUAUCUGGUCCUGAACUUUAUGGGUCGUUACGGGUAGUUUUUUCUUCUUUUUCCUUUUAGGGCUGCACCUGCAGCAUAUGGAAGUUCCCGGGCUAGGGGUCAAAUUGGGGCUGCAGCUGCCAGCCUACAGCCGCCUUGCCACAGCCUCAGCAACAGGGGAUCUGAGCCGCACCCGUGACCUAAGCCCCCGUGCAUCAGUGCUAGAUCCUUAACCCACUGAGCAAGGCCAAGGAUUCAACCGAGUCCUCACAGUGUCAACGCUGGGUCUUUAACCUGCUGAGCCACGCAGGACACUGGACAGUUUUCCGUGAGCGCUCUGAAUCUGUCAUCCUGCUGUGCUGCUUUCUGGCCUCUCUUACGACUGGUGGGAAU